GACAGUUGUUUAAAUGCUUCUUGUCUGGAAGAAUUAUGUAGACGGGUAGAGUUUGAAAGUGCUUCCUCUCAAGAUUUCGAUGACUGUACCCCACCACCACCUUCCUUUACAGAUAUAUCUCAUUGCUCUGAUAUGUCUAUAUGUAGUAUCGAAUCGGGCUCCUUCAGCAAUUGGAACGGUUUUAAAAUUGUUGGGGAUAAUUUGGACAUAACUAUUCGUCCUAGGAGCCAACAGGUAGAUCACAAAGCAAGUUCCCUUCACUUCUUCCAUUGUUUUGCGGUUCGAGAUCAAGCUAAUUUUUCUCUGGCAUCUGAAUUUCCUAAUUCUUUAAUACAUCGACCCAUUUCUGAUCUUCCAAUCCAAACUUUGUUACCAUCGCUGUCUGAUGACCAAGCAUUGUUGUCUCAUUUUUCAGUUAUUAUUAGUCGUGUCUUGGAUAAGGAAAUACCAUACUUUUCAACGACAUUUCAUGAUGUCAUUCAAUCACACAUAAGGCACAAACACUAUGAUAAAAUGUCACUUAAAUCUGAAACAGUACCAUUGGGUGUCAUUCUUAAGAACGAGAACAUAUUGGAGGAGAUGAUGGAUAUUAUGAUGCAACUACAUUGUUAUGUCCCAAUAAAGCAGGGUUCCAUUACAGAUCCAGAAAGUAGUGUGGAAGUAUCUUGAAACGUUGUUCACAAGAUAUUUGGCGGGGAUCAACUCACCAGAAAACGUACAGGUCAGCAAGAGAAGGAAGAAGAAAUAGCAUCAAUGCUGCUACUAAGUUGGAUGGCUUUGUACCUGUUUGUGAGGAUUGGCAUGCCAAAAAGAUUUUUUUGGAGAUGAUAUGGUCCUUGAUGUAUGACACGAAAAGCUUUUCGGAUAAAGGGACUUUGUAUCAAUUAAGGAACAUGAUCGAUCGCAGAAUCAUUUCUGCAACAGCUGCAGAAGAUUAUAAUGCUUGUGAGGAGUUUUUUUUUCAGUUGUUGAAAGUCACAUAGUGACUGCAGCGAUGACUG